rnacentral:rRNA from 1 species
UCGCUACUACCGAUUGGAUGGCUUAGUGAGGUUUCGAGAUUGCGCUUUGUGGUUGGCUUGUCCUUCGGCAAGGUGCGAAAACGAAAUCAAACUUGACCAUCUAGAGGAAGUAA